AUUGAACGCUGGCGGCAGGCCUAACACACGCAAGUCGUGCGAGCGGCGGACGGGUGAGUAAUGUAUGGGGACUGCCUGAUGGAGGGGGAUAACUACUGGAAACGGUAGCUAAUACCGCAUACCAUCAGACACCCCUUAUGGGAUUAGCUUGUAGGUAAGGUAACGGGUGACCUAGGCGACGAUCCCUAGCUGGUCUGAGAGGAUGAUCCGCCACGCUGGGACUGAGGCACGGCCCAGACGCCUACGGAGGAGGCAGUGGGGAGUAUUGCACAAUGGGCGCAAGCCUGGUGCAGGCUUGCCACGUGUAUGAAGCAGGCCCUCGGGGUGUAAAGUACUUUCAGUCGAGAGUCGUUACCGACAGAAGUAGCAACGGCUAACUCCGUGCCAGCAGCCGCGGUAAUUC
rnacentral:rRNA from 1 species